UACGUAGGGUGCAAGCGUUGUCCGGAAUUAUUGGGCGUAAAGAGCUCGUAGGCGGUUUGUCGCGUCUGCCGUGAAAGUCCGGGGCUCAACUCCGGAUCUGCGGUGGGUACGGGCAGACUAGAGUGAUGUAGGGGAGACUGGAAUUCCUGGUGUAGCGGUGAAAUGCGCAGAUAUCAGGAGGAACACCGAUGGCGAAGGCAGGUCUCUGGCAUUAACUGACGCUGAGGAGCGAAAGCAUGGGGAGCGAACAGG
rnacentral:rRNA from 1 species